rnacentral:rRNA from 1 species
ACGGAAGGCAGCAGUGGGGAAUAUUGCACAAUGGGCGAAAGCCUGAUGUAGCGACGCCGCGUGAGCGAUGAAGUAUUUCGGUAUGUAAAGCUCUAUCAGCAGGGAAGAAAAUGACGGUACCUGACUAAGAAGCUCCGGCUAAAUACGUGCCAGCAGCCGCGGUAAUACGUAUGGAGCAAGCGUUAUCCGGAUUUACUGGGUGUAAAGGGAGCGUAGACGGUUUGGCAAGUCUGAAGUGAAAUGCGGGGGCUCAACUCCUGAACUGCUUUGGAAACUGUCGAACUAGAGUGCAGGAGAGGUAAGUGGAAUUCCUAGUGUAGCGGUGAAAUGCGUAGAUAUUAGGAGGAACACCAGUGGCGAAGGCGGCUUACUGGACUGUAACUGACGUUGAGGCUCGAAAGCGUGGGGAGCAAACAGGAUUAGAUACCCUGGUA